AAAAAGACACAAAGUUUACGCAACCAACUAAAGAACAACAACUAUACUGAACUAAAGUUAGAGAAAAUACGAUAAGCACAUAAGCAAAAAGGUCGAUAACCAUAGCAUAUAGAUCUCAAUUAGUAACUUAAUACAUGGAAAUAAACAAACCGAUCUUAACAUAAUAUUAGGCAAAAGCUUCAGAACUAUGAUUAACUUCAGUCUAAUAGAUAGCGUUAAACAAAACACUUGAACAGUUGAGAGGAAGAAAAGAAGAUAAGUUGAUUCAUAAAACUUGUUAAGCCAAUAAACAAAGAUAUAACAACACUGUUGAACGAAUAAGCCACAGAUCAAGGGCUUGAACUUGUGAAUACUGAUGAAAAUGUAGAAAAAGAAACAAAGUUUACGCAACCAACUAAAGAACAGCAACAAUAUUGAACUAAAGUUAGAGAAAACGCGAUAAGGACAUAAGCAAAAAGGUCGAUAACCAUAGCAUAUAGAUCCCAAUUAGUUACUCAAUACAUGGAACUAAACAAACCGAUCUUUGCAUAGUGUUAAGCAAAAGCUUCAGAUCUAUGAUUAACUUCAGUCUAAUAGAUAGCGUUAAACAAAGUACUUGGACAGUUGAGAGGAAGAAAAGAAGAUAAGUUGAUCCAUAAAACUUGUUAAGCCAAUAAACAAAGAUAUAACAACAAUGUUAAACGAAUAAGCCACAGAUCAAGGGCUUGAACUUGUGAAUACUGAUGAAAAUGUAGAAAAAGAAACAAAGUUUACGCAACCAACUAAAGAACAACAACAAUAUUGAACUAGAGUUAGAGAAAACGCGAUAAACACAUAUGCAAAAAGGUAGAUAACCAUAGCAUAUAGAUCCCAAAUAGUUACUUAAUACAUGGAAAUAAACAAACCGAUCUUAACAUAAUAUGUUAAGCAAAAGCUUCAGAACUACGAUUAACUUCAUUCUAAUUGAUAGUGUUAAACAAAAGCUUCAUAACUACGAUUAACUUCAGUCCUAAUAGAUAGUUAGAUCACGAGAUAGCCGAUAGGAAUAAUCAAAGAGGACUACCAACUUAAAGGUGAUGCCAGGGAUUCUUUUAGUCUUCUGCGGUCCUCCCGGAGCAAGUUUCUACUCUCUUCAAUGCCAUACAAGGUCGCAUAAGGUGGGGAGCGAAUGCAAGCUGGAGCAUUCAACCAGAGAUCGCUACGAAAACAGAGCAAAAAAUCACAAUAAACAUUAAACCUUGUUGUUAAGUAUUGUUUCAUAAAGCAUAUUAUAUUGUAUUGUUAAGUGAAUACAAAGUUUAAAUAGAUCAAAAAAAAUAAAAAUCACAUUCCAAUUUACCAGUUUAAAUCUGAUUUGUGGUUCGAAUUAAUUGUUAUCUUCCAAACGAAGAUUGUACACAAUAACAAUCAUCUAAAAAAAAAAAAAACUCACUUUUCGCUGCAUCCGAAUCUGAGGAGGUCAUGGAUGCUCUGAAACAUCAACAAAUUUGAAUAGAAAAUCAGUUACAGAAAUCAGUGAUUAAAAACAAAGCAAAAUAGAGUAUAAUCACCUCUUUGGGAUGCAGAGUGUUUUUGCGAGACAGUUUCAAAGGCCGACGAGCUUUAACAACCUCAUCCUAAGUAUUUUUAAAAAGGGGGAAAAAUCAGAUUAAAAUUGAAGAAGAACUCUAUAUCAGAGAUGAAAUCGAAAAGUAGAAAACCUGUUGAUUCUCUAUCUUCUGUUGAUUCUCCGUCUUCUGUUUCUUAUCAAUGUGAUGUUCUUCAUUCUGUUCCUGCUUCUCCUUCUCCCUCUCCAUUGAUGCCCGUUCCAUUUCUAUUGUGCCUUUUGUUGUAAAGUGGAGACGAAACAAAAUAAAAAAAAACCUUGGAAUAGGUUGGGCCUCCGAGGUAUAAAGUAUAAUAAUUUCAAGAUAAAAUAUAGGAUUAUUUUAGUUUAUCGGGAAUUUUCAUAAUUAACAAAUACUAAGAUUCCUUAACUACAGUUUCACUCAUUAUAAUUUAUAGCUACACUUUGGUUUUUCUAUGCAUUUGUGUUCGUUGUAUUUUUUUGUGGAUUUCAGAGGAAAAAAAGACAAAUACAAAUUGAUUUGUAUCAAAAUGAAUAUAUAUUAGGAGGAGAGAGACAAGUAAGAUCGAGAGAGGCGAACGAGAUCGAGAGAGGGAAGGAGAGAGACGAGCGAGAUCGAGAGAGGGAAGGAGAGGAUGAAUGCAUGUUGUAUUCAUUGUAUUACGAAUACAAUUGAUACAUAAUACAAAUGCAGUUAAUACAAAAUGCAUAUAUGUGUAUCCAUUUUAUGAAAUUUCUUGGUAAACAUGUGUAUUCAUUUGUCUUAAACACGUGAAUUUUAUUCAUCUUCUUCUCAUUUCCCUCUUAUUUGGUGUGUAGAAUUAUAACGUUUUCUUGCCUUGUUCAUCAGUUGUUAUGAAUGCAGUAAAAAAACCGAGUCUUAAAUAUUCAAUAAGUAUAAUGUUUAUGUAGCGUAAUUUCUACCUAACUAAAUCCUACAUAAAUAAUACCUGCAUAAUUAAUAUUUACAUAGCUAAUAUUUGCAUAACAAAUACGUGCAUAACUCUAACUAGUAACCAAACAAUCCUUAGAUGGUUAGAUCACGAGAUAACCGAUAGGAAUAAUCAAAGUUAACAUAGAAAAGUUUAAAUAUUUUUGUAGGUACACAUAUACAUAAUGCCAAACAUGGAUAAAACGGUAUAAAAGUGUGCUCUAGCUAAUGAUUCAAGAUCAAAAGAAUAACUGGAACAAGGGUAUCAAACUUCUUAGAAAUGAUUUUCUAACAUUUGAUUACAUACCAUUGAAUGAUUUACUUGUACACCUGAAAGAUAGCUCAUAAAAUAACGAAAAUAAUUGGAUAAUUAGUUUAUAUGAAUUCUUUUUAUGUGAAAGCAUAUAGAAAAAUGACACUGUCAAUUUAUCAAUUUCACUUUAGUCAUUGUGUCAAAGGGAAAUCACUUCGUCAGGAGCAAUUUUGCCCUUUUGAUUUUAAAAAAAUUUGAUGUGCCCUUCUGGAAUUUUUGACAAUUUUUUUUGCCCUUUUGGCUCUAAACUCGGAAAAUCAUAAAGCAAAAUUACAACCAAAAAAAAGUGGGACAAAAUAAUGUAUUAUCAAAUCACCAAGAAAUAAGGCAUAGAAUAGACACUUUAACUUGACUUCAACAGAUAACUAAGAGAAUGCACAUCUAUACACUUUAACUCAUUCCCAAUUGUAUCUCGUAUACACUCGAAGUUGAUGUAACAUGUGAGUUUUGAAAGUGCCUAGAUGAUCAUUUUCUAAGUUGGAGUGUUCAACUAACACAAUGGAACACGUUGAGGUGUUUAGAUGCUAGUUUCUUGUUGAAGUCAAGAUAAAAUGUCUAUUUUAUGUAUUAUGCCAAAAAAUUAUUACAAAUACGUGCAUUAUACUUUACUGAAGAAUAAUUAGGUUGCAUUCAACAACAAUUAAAAUAAAUAGCUCAUUAUUUGAUUUUUGUUAUUGCUUCUUGUUUUUUCUAAAUGCUGUGUUAUGCUUUUUCUGUUAUUUGUUAUGUAUAUUUGGCGUUACUCGAGUCGAUAAAAACAAUCUCUCGCUCUCUACCUCCACGAGGUAAGGGUAAGAUUACGUACACUUUAUCUUUCUCAUACCUUGCUUAUAAAAUUAUACUAGAUGCCUCGGCAUUAUUUGAGAAUACUAUUUGCUAAGAAUAUCAUAUUUGAUGUAAUUGGUUAUACAAAUAAUUAAAACUUGCUCCUGUAAUUCCAGAAUUUUUACUGGGGUAUUCUAAUUAAGAAAAGUAUUAGAUAUGAAAAAAAAUAAGGUUACGAUAGCAAACCCCUUGGCAUUGAUCUUUUCACAAACAAAAGUACUGCAAGAGUGUCUACAUAUAUGAUGAAAUACAAAGUUUCCUCACAAUCAAAUAACAAGAUUUUGAAAACAUUUUGCUUUCAACCAUUAUGAAAAUUGGAAAGAUAAAUUGAUCCAUAAAACUUUCUAACCAAGAUCAUGAAGCAAAGAUAUAAUAACCAUCAUGUUAAGCAAAUGAACAAAACAAAUCCAAUUUUUGAAAUAAUGUUUUUGGUCUUGGUCAAAAUAUUGAGCAAAAUGUAGCAUCGAACAGACACGAAGAAUCAAUGGUCAAAUUCAAAUAUAACGAAACAGAAGGAGAUAAAUAACGUUGAAGUAAAGUUAGAGAAAACGCGACAAGCACUUGAACAGUUGGGAGGAAGAAAAGAAGAUAAGUUCAUCCAUAAAUCUUGUUAAGCCGACAAACAAAGAUAUAACAACAAUGUUAAAUGAAUACGCCACAGAUCAAGAGCUUGAACUUGCAAAUACUGAUGAAAAUGUAGAAAAAGACACAAAGUUUACGCAACCAACCAAAAAACAACAACUAUAUUGAACUAAAGUUAGAGAAAACGCGAUAAGCACAUAAGCAAAAAGGUCGAUAACCAAAAAGCGUAUAGAUUUCAAUUAGUUACUUAAUACAUGGAAAUAAACAAACCGAUCUUUGCAUAGUGUUAAGCAAAAGCUUCAGAACUAUGAUUAACUUCAGUCUAAUAGAUAGCAUUAAACAAAGUACUUGAACAGUUGAGAGGAAGAAAAGAAGAUAAGUUGAUCCAUAAAACUUGUUAAGCCAAUAAACAAAGAUAUAACAACAAUGUUAAACGAAUAAGCCACAGAUCAAGGGCUUGAACUUACGACUACUGAUCAAAAUGUAGAAAAAGACACAAAGUUUACGCAACCAACUAAAGAACAACAACAAUAUUGAACUAGAGUUAGAGAAAACGCGAUAAACACAUAUGCAAAAAGGUAGAUAACCAUAGCAUAUAGAUCCCAAAUAGUUACUUAAUACAUGGAAAUAAACAAACCGAUCUUAACAUAAUAUGUUAAGCAAAAGCUUCAGAACUACGAUUAACUUCAUUCUAAUUGAUAGUGUUAAACAAAAGCUUCAUAACUACGAUUAACUUCAGUCCUAAUAGAUAGUUAGAUCACGAGAUAUCCGAUAGGAAUAAUCAAAGAGGACUACCAACUUAAAGGUGAUGCCAGGGAUUUUUUUAGUUUUCUGCGGUCCUCCCGGAGCAAGUUUCUACUUUCUUCAAUGCCAUACAAGGUCGCAUAAGGUGGGGAGCGAAUGCAAGCUGGAGCAUUCAACCAGAGAUCGCUACGAAAACAGAGCAAAAAAUCACAAUAAACAUUAAACCUUGUUGUUAAGUAUUGUUUCAUAAAGCAUAUUAUAUUGUAUUGUUAAGUGAAUACAACGUUUAAAUAGAUAAAAAAAAAUGAAAAUCACAUUCCAAUUUACCAGUUUAAAUCUGAUUUGUGGUUCGAAUUAAUUGUUAUCUUCCAAACGAGAAUUGUACACAAUAACAAUCAUCUAAAAAAAACAAAAAAACUCACUUUUCGCUGCAUCCGAAUCUGAGGAGGUCAUGGAUGCUCUGAAACAUAAACAAAUUUGAAUAGAAAAUCAGUUACAGAAAUAAGUGAUUGGCAAUUAAAAACAAAACAAAAUAGAGCAUAAUCACCUCUUUGGGAUGCAGAGUGUUUUGCGAGACGGUUUCAAAGGCCGACGAGCUUUAACAACCUCAUCCUAAGUUUUAAAAAGGGGGAAAAUUCAGAUUAAAAUUGAAGAAGAACUCUAUAUCAGAGAUGAAAUCGAAAAAAACGAAGAAAACCUGUUGAUUCUCCGUCUUCUGCUUCUUGUCAAUGUGAUGUUCUUCAUUCUGUUCCUGCUUCUCCUUCUCCUCCUCCUUCUGCAUCUCCAUCGCCGUUCUUCUUUGGUUGAUGAUUAGGGCAAAAACGUUUGAUGUGAAUGUAUCUCGAGGGUUUCUUAUUUUAUAUCUAUAUGGCUACGAAAUAAACGUGAACCGUUGGAUUUCA
rnacentral:lncRNA from 1 species